GUACCUGAAUGGGGGAGCAGGG
rnacentral:miRNA from 1 species